rnacentral:rRNA from 1 species
CCUACGGGUGGCAGCAGUGAGGAAUAUUGGUCAAUGGACGAGAGUCUGAACCAGCCAAGUAGCGUGAAGGAUGACUGCCCUAUGGGUUGUAAACUUCUUUUAUAUGGGAAUAAAAUGUUCCACGUGUGGGAUUUUGUAUGUACCAUAUGAAUAAGGAUCGGCUAACUCCGUGCCAGCAGCCGCGGUAAUACGGAGGAUCCGAGCGUUAUCCGGAUUUAUUGGGUUUAAAGGGAGCGUAGGUGGAUUGUUAAGUCAGUUGUGAAAGUUUGCGGCUCAACCGUAAAAUUGCAGUUGAAACUGGCAGUCUUGAGUACAGUGGAGGUGGGCGGAAUUCGUGGUGUAGCGGUGAAAUGCUUAGAUAUCACGAAGAACUCCGAUUGCGAAGGCAGUUCACUGGACUGCAACUGACACUGAGGCUCGAAAGUGUGGGUAUCAAACAGGAUUAGAUACCCUUGUAGUC